GACGAACGCUGGCGGCGUGCUUAACACAUGCCAGUCGAACGGAAAGGCCCCUUUGGGGGUACUCGAGUGGCGAACGGGUGAGUAACACGUGAGUAACCUGCCCUUGACUUCGGGAUAACUUCAGGAAACUGGGGCUAAUACCGGAUAGGAAUCCUUGCUGCAUGGUGGGGGUUGGAAAGCUUCGGCGGUUUUGGAUGGACUCGCGGCUUAUCAGCCUGUUGGUGGGGUAGUGGCUUACCAAGGCUUUGACGGGUAGCCGGCCUGAGAGGGCGACCGGCCACAUUGGGACUGAGAUACGGCCCAGACUCCUACGGGAGGCAGCAGUGGGGAAUAUUGCACAAUGGGCGGAAGCCUGAUGCAGCAACGCCGCGUGCGGGAUGACGGCCUUCGGGUUGUAAACCGCUUUCAGCAGGGGCGAAGCUUGUGGUGACGGUACCUGCAGAAGAAGCACCGGCUAACUACGUG
rnacentral:rRNA from 1 species